rnacentral:lncRNA from 1 species
AAUUGAGGGGGAUUCUACAAAAUACACGACCCGCACUCUUCUAAGGUGUCAAGGUCAUGAAAAACAAGACUGGAAAACCAACACAGACUGGAGGAGACUAAGAAGACCUGACAACUAAAUGCCAUGUGGGACCCUGGAGGGGACCCGGGAACAGUAGUAGAAGAGCUGGUGACAUCUGAAUGAAGUCUGUAAUUUGGGUAACAGUACUGUACCAAUGUUAAUUUCCCUGCUCUGCCAAUGCGAUGAGGGGCCCCUGCUGUAUGAAAUUGAAGAAAGAGUUGGACAACCAAGACACGUGAAGAGAGAGCAUGAGACUGGCUCCAGCACUCAGCAUUAGGAGAGCAUGGACUUCCUUCCAAUUGUGCCACCUUUCACAGACCUACCCUCAAGAAACCUUCAGCCUGAGUCCCUGUGUCAAAUGUCAAACUCUUGAGAAAGAGACUGAUAAGCUCAGCUCGAGGCCAGGAGAGAGAACCUGCUAUCUCUGGGGUCCAGAACAGAAGAGAUGAUGGCAAUGCACCUUGCAGGUGCAGUUUCCUUGGGGACCCCUGAACAAGGAGGUUGUUAUCUGGCCAUCUUCAUUCCCACCUUGUGGGAACUGGGUCCAGGGAACCAACACAAAUAAGCUGACAACUUGGCUACUGCUUUUGCUGCAGGGAUGCAUUUCACAGAGCACAUGAGCAACUCGGAGGGACCUGGGAAGCCAUGUGGCUGAUGCCUUGCUUUACAGAAGAGGACACCAGGCCCAGAGAGAGGAAGAGACUCCCUGGGACAGCAUGCGCAGCCAGUGGCAAAGCCAGGACCCACAUGCCGAUCCCCCCUUCCCCGCAGCCCUCCCUGUGUGGCAGGGUUGGUACCGAUGCGAUACCACAGCCACAGCCCUCCCAACAUCAACCCACUGGGCCGCCUGUGGGCCUCUGCUCUUCAAAGGAAGAAAGAGCUAUUUGGGAUAAUGGUCGCAGAGCCCUCUGAAGUUCCAAAGAGUUGGAAAAAAUACAUCUAUAAGACCC